GAUGAACGCUGGCGGCGUGCCUAAUACAUGCAAGUCGAGCGAACGGACGAGAAGCUUGCUUCUCUGAUGUUAGCGGCGGACGGGUGAGUAACACGUGGAUAACCUACCUAUAAGACUGGGAUAACUUCGGGAAACCGGAGCUAAUACCGGAUAAUAUUUUGAACCGCAUGGUUCAAAAGUGAAAGACGGUCUUGCUGUCACUUAUAGAUGGAUCCGCGCUGCAUUAGCUAGUUGGUAAGGUAACGGCUUACCAAGGCAACGAUGCAUAGCCGACCUGAGAGGGUGAUCGGCCACAUUGGAACUGAGACACGGUCCAGACUCCUACGGGAGGCAGCAGUAGGAAAUCUUCCGCAAUGGGCGAAAGCCUGACGGAGCAACGCCGCGUGAGUGAUGAAGGUCUUCGGAUCGUAAAACUCUGUUAUUAGGGAAGAACAUAUGUGUAAGUAACUGUGCACAUCUUGACGGUACCUAAUCAGAAAGCCACGGCUAACUACGU
rnacentral:rRNA from 1 species